UACGGAGGGUACAAGCGUUGCUCGGAAUCACUGGGCGUAAAGAGCGUGUAGGCGGUUUCGUAUGGCUGACGUGAAAGCCCCGGGCUCACCCCGGGAAGUGGGUUGGAAACUGCGAGACUAGAGUCCCGGAGAGGAAGGUGGAAUUCCAGGUGUAGCGGUGAAAUGCGUAGAUAUCUGGAAGAACACCGGUGGCGAAGGCGGCCUUCUGGACGGUGACUGACGCUGAGACGCGAAAGCGUGGGGAGCAAACAGG
rnacentral:rRNA from 1 species